rnacentral:tRNA from 1 species
GAUAUAGCUCAGUUGGCAGAGUGCUUGCCUUGCACGCAAAAGACCCUGGGUUCAAUCUCCAGAAGCA